AUUGAACGCUGGCGGCAGGCCUAACACAUGCAAGUCGAGCGGAGCGGCGGACGGGUGAGUAAUGCCUAGGAAUCUGCCUGGUAGUGGGGGAGAACGUCCGGAAACGGGAGCUAAUACCGCAUACUAUGAGAUGAGCCUAGGUCGGAGUAGCCAGUUGGUGGGGUAAAGGCCUACCAAUGCGACGACCCGGAACUGGUCUGAGAGGAUGAUCAGUCACACUGGAACUGAGACACGGUCCCGGCUCCAACGGGAGGCAGCAGUGGGGAAUAUUGGACAAUGGGCGAAAGCCUGAUCCAGCCAUGCCGCGUGUGUGAAGAAGGUCUUCGGAUUGUAAAGCACUUUAAGUUGGGAGGCGUUACCAACAGAAUAAGCACCGGCUAACUUCGUGCCAGCAGCCGCGGUAAUAC
rnacentral:rRNA from 1 species